rnacentral:rRNA from 1 species
CCUUAGUUACCAGCACGUUAUGGUGGGCACUCUAAGAGACUGCCGGUGCAAACCGGAGGAAGGUGGGGAUGACGUCAAGUCAUCAUGGCCCUUACGGCCUGGGCUACACACGUGCUACAAUGGUCGGUACAAAGGGUUGCCAAGCCGCGAGGUGGAGCUAAUCCCAUAAAACCGAUCGUAGUCCGGAUCGCAGUCUGCAACUCGACUGCGUGAAGUCGGAAUCGCUAGUAAUCGUGAAUCAGAAUGUCACGGUGAAUACGUUCCCGGGCCUU